CAGAGGGGGCAAGCGUUGUUCGGAAUUACUGGGCGUAAAGGGCGCGUAGGCGGCCUGCUAAGUCGAACGUGAAAUCCCUGGGCUCAACCCAGGAACUGCGUCCGAUACUGGUUGGCUUGAAUUCGGGAGAGGGAUGUGGAAUUCCAGGUGUAGCGGUGAAAUGCGUAGAUAUCUGGAGGAACACCGGUGGCGAAGGCGGCAUCCUGGACCGAUAUUGACGCUGAUGCGCGAAAGCCAGGGGAGCAAACGGGAUCAGAUACCCCGGUAGUCCUGGCCCUAAACGAUGAAUGCUUGGUGUGGCGGGUAUCGAUCCCUGCCGUGCCGAAGCUAACGCAUUAAGCAUUCCGCCUGGGGAGUACGGUCGCAAGGCUG
rnacentral:rRNA from 1 species